GGAAGAGUCAGUGCCCCUCCUACCACUGGGGAAUGAGUGGCCCUGUGCCUCAUUCCCACCAAGGGUCCCAGUUUCAGGAGUUUGUUGAGCUUUUAUUUUGCUGCUUUAGUGGAUGAGAAAUGACACAUAACCCAUUGUCUUCUUUUCACUUCUCUUCUGAUGAUUGAGGCUGGAGUUUCAUCACUUUCAUUUAUUUCCAGAAUGCAGCCACUUUUCCCAGUUCUGGGGGAGACCACUGAACAUGCCUUCCUGGGUGUUCCCAGCCACAGACUGUGAUCCACAUCCAGCGAGGAAACUCCACUCUUUGUGCAACUACUAUGUAGCUAGUGACUGGCUUCUGACCAACAGAAUAUAGCAAAUCAUGGGAGUAACAUUUGUUCACAGUGUAUAUAUUUCUGAAUAUGUAUGAAAAGCACAUGCCAUAUCGGCCCAGAGAAGCCAUUGACGGGGCUUUAGAAAUCAGUGACCUUUGAGGACGUGUUUGUAGAACUCACUCAUGAAGAGUGGGACCUGCUGGGCACAUUGCAGAGAAAGAUGUACACAGAUGUGAUGCUGGAGGACGUGCAUUGUCUCAUCUUCUGGAAAUGUUGCAGGCCAGAAGAGAGUGAAACGAUAUGUUUAAAGUACUGGGGGAAACUACCUAACAACAAUUCUAUAUCUUACAAUAUUAUUCUUCAAAAAUGAGGAAAAUGAAAGACAGUCUCAGACAAAAGCUGAAGGAGUUCAGUACCAUAAUACCUACCCUUCAAGAAAUGCUAAAGGGAGUACUUCAAGUUCAAAUGGAAGGACACCAGUAACUUGAGGCCAUAUGAAAAUAUAAAUUUAUCUGAUAAAGGUAAAUAAAUGGACAAAUAGGAAAAAAAAGCUAUAAUUUUGACUUGUAACUACA